GGCUCUCCUAUAAGUUAAUAAUGGAAGUGAGCUAAUCCUUCACUUAGAAAGUCUCCAAUGUAUUCUUCACCCAAAAUUUAUACAAUAUUUUUUCUCCAAGUAUGGAGGCUAUGAACUCAAGAGCUAAACCUAAAAUUGGAGAAGAUAGAAUUCUCUACAUGAUGAUAAUGUUUGAGUCUUUUUUUUUAAAAUUGGUUUCAACCAUGUGCAUUUCCUCUAAGUCAUGAUAGCAUUAGAUUGACUAUGGCUGGUGCUACCAUGACCACAAUAUACUUAUACAACCACGGUUGAUUGAACCUGUUUAACUGUUGUGAUCGCUGUCAACAAACUACGACCACGGUAACCGAGGCCCUUUUGCUCCAAGUCUUCAGUUGCACUUUUCUUGCUUCCUUUUGAUCAUUUUAAGCUCCAUUCCAUAUCUUUAUAUCUCUUCAACUCUAUUCCUACAAAGAGUGGUUAUUAGUGCAUUCUUUCAUAAUUAUGUCUAAAUAAUUUACUGAAAAUAAGGUAAUAUGCAUAAAUAUUAAGUGCAAAUGAGUGGUAAAAUGACCACUCAUCAAGAAUAAAUCCAUUGCCUUCUUUGUGAACUUGAGAAGGGAUAUAAGAUGAUGGAAUGUAUGGCUAAUUAGAGUAGGAUUAUAAACUUCUAUAGAACAAAGGUUGUAAUUCUCAUGUAGGAUAGAGAUAUACCUAAGUGACCUAUUUGUUUCAUUACGGGAUAAAAUAUAAAUAUAUUUAGCUUAGUUCUCACAUCCCCGCUCAACGAUGUGGUUGUUGGUCUAAGUUAGAUAGAGGAUUAGAGGCUGGAAAAACCAUGAUCACAAUAUCAUGCCCGCGAAUCAACAACCAAGAUAAGUAACUUAACCAAUGAAGUCUAAUAGCUUAGUAUGAUUGUUUGCAGAGACUCAACCCUAGGUUUCUCCUUGUUGAUUGUCCAAGAUAUUUACUUUACUGUGUAAGAUUCUUUACUUUUAGUCUAUAGCUCUCAAACUAUCAUAGUUAUGCUUUCACUAAUUAAAUCUCAAUACUGAACUAGAAUUUUAUAGUUGUCAACACAACUCUCUCAAGGAUUGGUAUUCGGCUUUAUUUAAGGCCACGGUAUUACUUGGUGAGACCACGAUACCUUCGUGUGUGCUUUUGCAUCAGUGCCGGGGACUUUUAAUUAGACAACUAUCUUAUUUUUAGUUUACCUAUAUUAAGUUGGUCAUAGUUUAGUAUUUUUUUUAAUUUUCUUUUACAUUUUUAUCACACUUAUUGAUUUGUCAACCUGGGGUAGACGUUUUUCGUGUGAUGAUAAUUCUUGUUGUUUUUUAGGGGACCCUAUCAAGAGGAUUUUACUAUCCUAUCUGUGGUGCAAACCAUAAGUUUUUGUAAGGUUUAUGGAAAGGGUGGUUAUUCUACAACUAUGUGAGGUGCAAAUCCUGAGUCAGUGAUGUUUGUGGGCAAUGCUCAAAGGCAAAAUUAUGGGAACUCUUACAAUCAAAAGUGAUACACUCAGCCCCCAAUUAAAUCAUGGAACAACAACCAACAAUAAUAGUUUCAACAGAAACAACAAAAAACAAAGGCCAACAACAUAGAAGACAUGUUUAAAAAAAUCAUGGCCACCCAAGAACAGAUGUCUGCUAAACUCAAAAAUCAGCAAGUAUUUCAGAAGAAUUUUUUGCGUCAACUGGGGCAAUUGUAGAAAACCCAAAACACCAAGCCCCAAGGUGAUUUUCUAAGUAACAAUGAACCUCCUAAACAAGUAAAUACAAUUAAUUUGUGGAAUGGUAAAGAGUUGAAUGAAAGGACUCCAAAGACAACUAAGGAGGUAGAUGCAAAGUUGGCUCCUCAACCAGAUGCAAACAAAGUUGUUGAUAAUUUGAGAAAGUUUGAGUUCUUGAAAACUAAAUUUUUUGAACAAUUUAAGGAGAUACCACCACUACCAUCUCUACAGAGGUUGAGAAUAUCAAAUAAGGAUACAAGCCAAUUUAUGGAGCAAACAUAAGAAUUUCUUUCAUUCGACUAUCAUUUUUCUCUUGACACUGAAUUUAAAAAGGUAAAUAAGAGUGAGUAUGUUGUGAUGGUGUAAAUUUUUAAGUGGGAUUGGUUGGACUUUAUUCAAAGCACUUUUCUACAUUAUGUUUAGAUGAUGACAUGUCAGAGGAGUCAUCUAAAAUAGUGGAAGAGUGUAAAGAUGAGGAAUAAGAAACCUAUAUUUUUAAUUUUGCACAAGAAAAUAAAAACGAAAACAUGCCUCACUAUAAGGUUGAGUGGUUUAACAUGUACCAUACAUUACUAGGUUUACUCAUCUUUGUACCACUACCGUAUUAGCAAAGUAUAAAAAUGGAUGCGAGGUUGGGGGUGAAAUAAAUAUCCUCGAGGUGGAGGAAAAAAUUUAUGUGGGUCGUGCUGUGACACUAAAUUAGGCUCUUAUUGGAGGCAACCCAAGUUAAGGUAGGUUUUAUUUUUAGUAUUUUUAGUUUAUAAUUCACUUGUUUUUGUUUUUGUUGAGUCACAGGUUGAUGGGAAGUCUGAGUGCCAGAAACCUGAGUAAGGAGCAUGGCCAAAUCAAAGUAUGGGGUCCCCAAACCCUCUUAAUGUAUAAAGAUGCUACUAACUAGGCCUAGAGGCCUAAGAAAGUAUUUUUAUCUUUAAUUUUAAGUACACUUUGGGGACAAAGUAUAUUCUUAAGUGAGGGGUAAGGAGACUCACAUUUUUUGGAGUAAUUUUUUUUUUUAAAAAAUAUGUCUUAGAAAUGGGUGGGAUAUUUUUAUAUGUGAUAUAAAUGAUUGCAUGAUGCAAAUGUUUUGAAUGUAAAGAGCAUGUUUAUUGAGUGAAUUACUACUUUUGAGACUCCUAGGCUCUAGUUUAUGACUCUUGUACCUUUUGGCUUGCUGUUAAAUUCAUCUGAUUGUUUGGUUGAGAGUCUAUAAUUAUCCUACUUUAUUUGAGAAUGUGUCAUAUUUACGUAAGGGUUUGUAUAUUCCUUGUUAUACUUGAUUCUAGAACUUGCUUGAUGUGUAAGGAAAACAAAAUAAAGAGUGUGAAUUUAGGAUAUGAUAUAGUCAUUUCUUUGAUAGCCAUGUUUUAUACCCUUUUUUAAACCUACCCUUGCACAUAAUCCUGUUAACCCCAUAAACCUUUAGCUUGUUUUCUUUGGCAUCCUCAUAUGAUGUAUGUAUCCCUUGUUGGAUUGACCUUAAUUUGACACAAUGCUCCAAAUCAAUUUAGUUAAAAUUUAAUUGAGUUAAGGAGUUUUAAAUUCAAGUAGGAAAAAAGUUAAAUUGAAGCCCCAAAGUAAUAGUUAUUAGUGUACUAUUGAUGUGUUAUGGUCGGGAGUGAAAGAAAUUUAUACUAAAAAUUGAAUAGUUAUUUAAUAGAAAAUACUACCUCUUAUAUUGUAUGUGAGUGAUCUUAAUGAAAUGGGGCAGAACAAAAGAUCGGGGUAGACAAAAGUGGUGUAAAUUGGUUUUUAGAGGUGAAUUAAAAGAAAAGUGUAAUGUAUUAAAGCACUUAGGGAAGAUAGUCACUAUUCUUGAUCAAAAUAGUCCUACCUAUCCCUUAGCCUACAUUACAAUCCUUAAAUACCUAUUUGAUAAUAAGUUUCAUCAUUCAAAAUUAGUAGAAUACUACACUAAGGGCAAGCCUAUGGUGUAACUUGUGUAACUUGCAAUUUUUUUGUGAGAGUGAGCGUAAUUCAAUUCCUAUACCCAAUUUGUGAUAAAUUAAAUCUAUGUGAGUGGUUAUGGGUAACUCUCUUGUUCUGAGGAAACAUCUUGUAAUCCAUGAAUCCUUAGUAUAUUGAAGAAUCAAUUCAGUACAUCAAUUUAUAUUCAGCUAGGAGUAGUAUUUAACAUCAAGUGAACAUAGGGUUGAAAACUUAGCCAUUGAUUAGGUUGAGACUAUUAGUAUAAGUCCCUAAGUCCUAGAACUGCAACACCAUAAUAGAUUCUAAAGUCUCACCCAUCAGACUAGGCUUGACACCUUAUUCCUUUUGGACAUCAGUUUAGUGGAUCCACAUCAAUCAGUAUUCUUAUCCUUGCCAAGAUAUAGAUCACCCUUUUAGGUAUAGGUUGGUUUUUAUUUAGCUUAGAUGGAGUAUGUCUAGUAAUAGUAGCUCCCAUAGUUCAGUCUCAAACAUUGCAUGGCCUUGUAUUUAGUUAUUCAUUUUGUUAUAAUCUAAUUAUAUGCUUAUUAAUUGGUCAUAGCAUCACUUUACAUAUUUUAGUUCCAUGUUUAGUUUUUCAUGUCAUGAUCAACAUACAUAGUGUAGUGGAUAUCUUACAUGCUUAGUAUACUCAAUGUACUGAUCACAUAGUUUUGUUUGUGCUAUAUUGUAUUAUAAUAUAUAUUCAGGCACUUAGUAUCUAGCUCGCAGUUUUCACAAUCCCACAUCACUUCAGUAGCAGCGUUUGGUGAGUUAUCAUUCAGGGACUAGUUUUAGAAUCUGUUAUUCGUUACUAUUUUAGCUUUAAAUAAUUGGAGUUAGUGGGGGGAUUGUCCUAGUAACUCAUCUUAGUAGAGGCUUUCAGACAAAUAUAUAUUAUAUUUUCAUCUUAUUAGUUAUAAUUAGUUAGUUUCCAUAUUAAAUAAGUAUUAGUUUCCAUUUGAUUAUUCUUAUAUAAUUCAUACUUUCAGUUUUUGCAUAGUAUUUAUUUAGUUUAUACAUUAUUCUAGUGUCAUAUUAGUCCAUAGGUUAGCUUGGGGUCACUUUUGACUAUAAGAACCGUUCUACGAGUAGGGGGUAGUCUCAGGUCAUGACAUUAGAUUACUUUUGUGAAAAGUCCCUGAAUUUACACCACAUAACCACGACUUUUUUCAACCUCAAGUUUCCAUUGACUAUGCAUACCCUCACUCCUCCCAAAUAUUAUUAAUAAUUUUUGAGAGUUUCUUAUGAUUCAUUAGAAGGAUUUUGAUUCCUUAUCUUUGACUACUCUUUUGAGAAAUGUCUUUAGAUCUAUAACAUUUUCAUAUGGUCUUGAAUAGUGGAACCUCAUUUUUUUCUUCAUGCAGCCGAUGUAUGAAUUAUCCUUUUUCACUCCUUCCGUCUCUAGAUUUUAUGCUUCCAAUAGUUGGAAGGCUUUUUUUCAAAACUUUGAAGAGCUACUAAAAUCUUCCUUUCUUAUGGAUAGUUGUAGCUAUCAAAAUUUCAUCCAUCAUGAAUUUUGAUUCUUCAUGCUCUUGUCUACUAGCUUGCAUAAAUAAAGAAGGCUAUUUGAAGAAUAAGUUUUUGCACCUUUUGAUUAUUAUUAGGUAGUAAAUAUAUAUAGAGAAGCUCUACCUUUUAUCCACAAAAACCUAUGCCAAUUUUUCCAAUCUAAAAUUAGAUAAUCAUCAAACAAAGAAAAUCUUAAAUAUAAGUCAUAUGUACUUAUGGAAAGAACUUCACACCAUACUUCCUCUUGAUACUUCCUAUGUGGAAGGAUACCAUCACCAUAUUAUCAAUCAAAUAUCCUCUUUUAUUAUGACAAGAGUAUCUGUUCUUCACAAAAGCCAUUCCUAACCAUAAAACUGCCCUGGUAGUUAUGUAAUAAUCACUAUAUAAAUUAUCCAUCUCAUGGUGAAAUUCCUUAUGACCUCACCAUUAAUUGAUGAGAACUUGCUUGAGGCUUAUAUUUUGGUUUAACAGUAGGCAUCACAUCACUAAAAACACCAUUAAUAUUUUCAACUAAGGGUGGUCUAAUGCCUAUUCAACAAUCAUGUCUUAUUAUUUCAUUUGUUCUAGGCCUCAAUAAUCCAUUAUGUGUGUAUAUUACAUUCUUAGAAUUGGACUCCUCGUGACCUUGAGAUUCUCUUACAUCAUAAGUACUUGAUACUUCACUAUCUUUAUACUCAUUCUUUCUACCUUCACUAAUAAAUGCAUCUUAAUAAGAGUAAGGAAGAGCAGGUAUACUCCAAACGUCAGGAGCUCACUUCAAAUCUCUGAUCCAAAGUUGCUCUGCACGAUGCACAUGUCAAUGGAUAGAACACGUACUAUGAUCUGUAGGCUACAGAAGUUUAUUAUAAGUAUUAAACAUGUGGUAUGCAGUAGUCAUCUUCCCACUAAGCUCCAUAUAUAAUGCAAGUAUAAAUAUCAUAAAAAGCCAGAAUAUAAACUACAAACAACUAUUCAGGGAACUAAACAUAAUCAUGCUAAUGAGUCUAUGAAUGUAAAUUAUCCUAUUCUAAUAUUACACUGGAACUAAAUACAGUAUGUAUAUCACUAGCCAAUAUACACAUGAAGAGAGAAUAUAGUAGUAGUACAAGGCUAAAGGAUACAUAUACGAUAUAAUUGAAUAAGGAAAGCGACAGAGAGAAUGUAAUAUCAUAUAUAUAUAUGUAUAUAUAUAUAUGUAUACACACACCAAUGUAGGACAAAACUCAAAUAUAAUAACCUGAGGGAACCAAUCUAAUCUCUCGAGCAUCAUAUCUAGGAAGAAAAGAUAAUACUAGCAUAAUUUGGGUUCCUAACCAAAGGAUCACUAAACAUGAGAUAAUCUAAAAAGAGGAAUCUUACUAUGAGAAAGGAAAGGAAUCAAAACCAUACUGACAAUCUUGGGCUAUCCCAUAAUCAUCCUGCCAUAAACAAACAAUAAUUACCAAUAAUAAAGUAACCAGCUAGUCUAGAAAAAUAAUAACAUAACCAGGCGCCAUAAGCCCGGAGGUUCCAAUCAAACACUCAACAAACAACAAUCAUAACUUAUACUUAUACUACACCCCAUAAUGUUGGUGGAUAAAAGCACCAAACAAUUAUACUGAUGAUAGGGAACACAUAUAAAUGAAUGAUGCAACAUAAACCAAUUGUAAACCAUGAAUCCUCACAUAAAGUAAGCACCAAACUUGAACCUAUUCCAUAACAUAAUGAGUACUCCAUCGGUUCUGGACACAAACAAAAAAUAUUAUCAUAAAUGUUGAACAUGAAUCAUAAAUAGUAUCCUAAGUGUCAGACUCAAAUAAGAAAGAGUAUUAUAAGUUCUAGACUGAAAUUGUAAAUAGUAUUAUAAGUCCCAACUUGAACUAGAAAUAGUAUCAUAAGUGCUAGACUUGAAUCAGAAAUACUAUCAUAAGUGUCGAACUAGAACUAAAAAUAGUAUCAUAAGUGGAAAACUCAGAUUAAAAAAUAGUAUAAGUGUCGGACUAGAAAAGAAAUAUAGUGCCAUAACUAAAGAACCAUUACCUGAGAUGAACCUUGGGACUAAAGAAGAAUAAUAGCAUAGAAAGGGUCUAAUCUCUCUCGACCGAUGUAAAUUGUAGUGGUAUAAGAGUGGAUAAACUACUAACCAAAGUCAAUCUAGAUCUAAUUUCCAAAACAUCAUCUUUUGUUUCGACAACAUCUAAGUCAUUAAAUAAGGCAGUAUGUUUCCUAUAACAAAAGAAUUUAUCUUAAAACUAAAAAGUGAGACUAAAUAUAUUUUUAGAAAACAAUUGUAAAGUCAUGGUUUAGAUUGGAAUCGUACCACUAAGUGAGCAUGAAUGCAUAUAAAGUAUGCAUCCCAUCACCAGUAUACAACCAAUUCAGUAGUAAGCACCUAAUCAUCUAUAAACUAGAAUCACACCCUUCCUAAGUGUUGAAUACACAUCUGAAGUCCACCUGGUAUAUAACCAUAGCCUUGGGCCCAACAAUAUAUAACCUGCAUAAUAAUAGCACUAUAAUCUUGGAAACUAAGUCACUAAGUCAAAUAGUGUAUCUUCUACAAAAGGGUCCCUUGUUAUAAUUCUAUGGUUAACAUGGUUAUAAUUAAGGGCAAUGGUAUUCUAAGUCCCUAGCAAGCAUUUUAUAGUAAGGUUUGGAUCAGGUUUAGCCCAAGUCCCCUAAGUAGGCUGAGGCCUAAUAUACUAAUCACAAUCUAAUCCUAUAAUUCUUACCUAACAUGCAAUCAACACUUUACACAAGCUCAUAGAGUAAAGUAGAUCAAAGCCUACCUUAAUGCCAAACUGCAAGUCUUAAACCAUCCAAAAAUUUCAAGCAUUUCCUCCACAAUCCCAAAAAUGACAUGGCACAAUCAAAAUAAUAUUCUAUAUGUAGAUUGGAGUAAAAUGAUACCUAUAUUUCAAUAGAAAACUUUAGGCCAAAAAUUGGAUCAAUAAUGGGCACAUGAGGCUAGCUAAUAGAAUCUAAAAAUGGAAUCCAUCACGAUGCCCGUCAAGGACAAGGAAUGCAUGCACUUUUAAGCAUAAAUGGAGCUCGAAAAUCAACCUACAAAGCUAGGAAAUUCAAAAAUUAAUUUCUAGAAUUUUACGUCAAAACAAUGGAAAAUGAUAAAGCGUAGUUGAAUUAUCUUAUUUUAGCCUAAGUAGAUGAUAUUUUGCAAUUUUCCACGCUCUAAGCUCCAACAAUGGUAAAAAAGGGUUUUGAAUCACAAUUUUAGUUGGAAAUUAAGCAAAAUGAAAUGGGUAUUCUUGAAAAUAAAAAAUAUAAAGGUAUAAUCACAUACACAAUGAUUAUACAAGAAAAACACAUCAAUAAUCAUUAUAAACAAAGCUUCCUAGCUCCUAAAAUGUA
rnacentral:lncRNA from 1 species